rnacentral:rRNA from 1 species
AUUGAACGCUGGCGGCAGGCCUAACACAUGCAAGUCGAGCGGAUGAAGGGAGCUUGCUCCUGGAUUCAGCGGCGGACGGGUGAGUAAUGCCUAGGAAUCUGCCUGGUAGUGGGGGAUAACGUCCGGAAACGGGCGCUAAUACCGCAUACGUCCUGAGGGAGAAAGUGGGGGAUCUUCGGACCUCACGCUAUCAGAUGAGCCUAGGUCGGAUUAGCUAGUUGGUGGGGUAAGGGCCUACCAAGGCGACGAUCCGUAACUGGUCUGAGAGGAUGAUCAGUCACACUGGAACUGAGACACGGUCCAGACUCCUACGGGAGGCAGCAGUGGGGAAUAUUGGACAAUGGGCGAAAGCCUGAUCCAGCCAUGCCGCGUGUGUGAAGAAGGUCUUCGGAUUGUAAAGCACCUUAAGUUGGGAGGAAGGGCAGUAAGUUAAUACCUUGCUGUUUUGACGUUACCAACAGAAUAAGCACCGGCUAACUUCGUG